UGAGGUAGAGGUUGCGUGAAUUAUGAGUAAUUUUUUGGAUGUGGCAGUCGCAAGUGAAGGAAAAUGAAAGGGAGGAACGCCGAAAGAGUUUUUUCAUACUGCAGAGAGGCUCUUGGGCACACAGUUAAGAGCUGUGUGACUGUCAUCAGUUAUUUGAUGGGGCGCUAUCCGA
rnacentral:ncRNA from 1 species